rnacentral:rRNA from 1 species
GAAGGUGGGGAUGACGUCAAAUCAUCAUGCCCUUUAUGUCUUGGGCUUCACGCAUGCUACAAUGGCUGGUACAGAGAGAGGCGAACCCGUGAGGGCAAGCGAAUCCCUUAAAGCCAGUCUCAGUUCGGAUCGUAGUCUGCAAUUCGACUACGUGAAGUCGGAGUCGCUAGUAAUCGCAGAUCAGCAACGCUGCGGUGAAUACGUUCCCGGGCCUUGUACACACCGCCCGUCAAGUCACGAAAGUCGGUAACACCCGAAGCCGGUGGCCUAACCGUAAGGAGGGGGCCGUCUAAGGUGGGACUGGUGAUUGGGACUAAGUCGUAACAAGGUAGCCGNNCGGCUGGAUCACCUCCUUUCUAAGGAG